GAUGAACGCUGGCGGCAUGCCUAAUACAUGCAAGUCGAGCGGACGGACGGGAAGCUUGCUUCUCUGAUGUUAGCGGCGGGCGGGUGAGUAACACGUAGAUAACCUACCUAUAUGACUGGGAUGACUUCGGGAGACCGGAUAUAAUACCGGAUGAUAUUUUGAACCGCAUGGAUCAAAAGAGAACGACGGUUUUGCUGUCACUUAUAGAUGGUUCCGCGCUGCAUUAGCUAGUUGGUAAGGUAACGGCUUACCAAGGCAACGAUGCAUAGCCGAGCUGAGAGGGUGAUCGGCCACACUGGAACUGAGACACGGUCCAGACUCCUACGGGAGGCAGCAGUAGGGAAUCUUGCGCAAUGGGCGAAAGCCUGACGGAGCAACGCCGCGUGAGUGAUGAAGGUCUUCGGAUCGUAAAACUCUGUUAUUAGGGAAGAACAUAUGUGUAAGUAAAUGUGCACAUCUUGACGGUACCUAAUCAGAAAGCAACGGCUAACUACGUG
rnacentral:rRNA from 1 species